AUGAAGAGCCGGCUCGAUGCCUCUCAUAAACAACACCUGCUUGUCAAUGUGGCUGAAUGGAUAGUGAGAGAGAGAGGAGAGAGAGCCGGAGGUGAGUACACAUCGUCCGCACACAUUGUUUUGAUCUGUCCUGUGUGUUUUUUUAUCCCCACUGUUGGCUUGUGCUGGAGUGUUUAUAUGUCUGGGACAUUCACACUCACAUGGGCUGACACUCCUGACUUCCUUCAGAGAAUUGAUCUUGACACAUUUGUGGGUUGUUGAAUUUAAACAGAUUUGCAUAUGCAUACUUCUGAGGUGAUUUUUACAAAUUACGUAAAAUGAGAUUAAACUCGGACAAAAUUACUCAGAGUAUGGGAAAGACAACAUGCUCAUUGUAUUCUCUGUUAUGUCAUUUGUCAAGUUAUGUCAUGUUCACAAAUUAAACAGCAGCUGAAAACAACUGUACAACAUGACGAUUCCUACAGCUUGGAUGUAAUAUAAAUAUUUCUGUCUUUGUCUCAGUUGUUUCUCCUACACAACAAUGAAAUUGAGAUUUUAAAGGUUUUUUUUUAAAAGAGAAAUAGUCUCUAUUAAAUCUCACACCCCUGUCUCAAAGAUCUAAAAGUCUCAAACUGAUAGGAUUUAAAAGUCUUCAAAAUUCAGAAAAUUCUAUAUGAACUUAAACAUUUCUUCCUUAUUUAAGCUACUAUUCCCUUUAAUUUUAUUCAACAAUGCUCUUAUAAUGUCAACGAAUGCCUCAUUUGUUUCUAACUCUAUUUUUGUAUUAGAAGAUACAUCUAAGUUGUUUUUCAAAGUCUCUCAAACUAUGAAAGAGUACUACAAAAGAUUGUAGUGAAGUCAAUAAGUUCACCACUCUCUGUCUGCAUGUGGUUAGGAUAUCACGCACAGUGAGAAAGGCAGAGGAAGGGCUGUGAACAGUACUACUGAAAUUAAUCUGUCACAAUAGGUCGGCUUCAGGAUGACUGAGCGCCGUGAUUGGCUGAAUGACAUGUCCCUCAAGCAUAUUUUGUUUGUGGUUGGAUGGCGCGUCCCUGGCUGAAUGCCAAACCUCCUGUGGGGAUUUUACCGCUUUCUUAGGAAAGCAAUGUGCUCUCUGGGGUUUCCGGGGGACUGAGGCCUCGCUACAGUUGUGCAAAAAUGAAACGCUUUGAAUCUCUACCUCGCUGCGCUUACGGCACAUAUAAAAGUGUCCUGUACUCAAAGCCAGAUCAAAGUUUGUGACGUGUGUAGUCUGAGAGUGUUGUUUUUAUCACUUGACGUGAGGUUUUGAAUUGAGUUUUCAAAGAUAAAUGGAAACACCAAAGCAGUAACAAAGAAGAUAUGUGGGGAGAUGAUUCAGAAAUAUGUAAAUGCAAAGUGAAGACAAAUUGUGGUGAGGGAAUAUGUCUUUUAAAUAUGGAUACAAAGAUGGAGUUGACACAUAAGUUGUGCUACAGACAAGAGGGAUACCAUAAAUCAUACAAUAAAGUGCUGUUACUUUUCA
ensembl:lncRNA